GUAAGAACUAUUAAAGGUUAGCCAUUUCAACAUUAGUGAGAGACAACAAAAGUAAUUUUCUAAUUAGUUUAAAGAGCAUGUAAAUUGUUCAUUUUCAAAUAAGACAAUUUAAUACUGUUAGCAAGAAACUUAUAACAUGUAUAAUUUGAUUUUUGUAUUUAUUAUGUAGAUGAAUCAAUUAUAUUAUCAAGGAUGUAAAGAAGCCAUAGAUGAAUUAUGGGUGUUAGUAAAUGGUCCCCAUAAAUCUAGCACAAGAUGUUACUCUGGUUGUAUUAUGAAUGAAGUUCGAUUUCAUACAAA
rnacentral:lncRNA from 1 species